GAAAAACAUAGGAUCGCAUCAUCUAUUUGUACUGCAGGAAACAUAAAUCCAAAGAAGAAAAAUAUCUGUGAUUUUUUGCUUAAAUGUUGCUUGGAUUCUCUCUUCGUUGUUUUAAAUUCCUCAAAACAUGGUGCUUUACUUGAAAAACAAAAUGAUGGGAGCAGAAAUGCUUCAUGACUUAAAACUGCUUUUGUAUCCUGUCCUUCAUGUCAUUUUGAGCAUAGUUAUGGGAUUAGGAAUAUUCACCUGUCACACUAAUACAAAGUUGGUAGGUUCAAACCUUAUUUGAUUGAAAAUGACAUUUUUACAAGAUAAUAUCACAUUGUAUUUUCUUUUCUUUUACUUCUCUUCUCAUGUUGUGCUCA
rnacentral:misc_RNA from 1 species